rnacentral:rRNA from 1 species
UCUUACGGGGGGCAGCAGUGGGGAAUAUUGGACAAUGGGGGAAACCCUGAUCCAGCGACGCCGCGUGAGUGAAGAAGUAUUUCGGUAUGUAAAGCUCUAUCAGCAGGGAAGAAAAUGACGGUACCUGACUAAGAAGCCCCGGCUAACUACGUGCCAGCAGCCGCGGUAAUACGUAGGGGGCAAGCGUUAUCCGGAUUUACUGGGUGUAAAGGGAGCGUAGACGGCAUAGCAAGUCUGAUGUGAAAGGCGGGGGCCCAACCCCCGGACUGCUCUGGAAACUGUAUGGCUGAGGUGCAGGAGAGGUA